CUCCUACGGGAGGCAGCAGUAAGGAAUAUUGGUCAAUGGACGCAAGUCUGAACCAGCCAUGCCGCGUGGAGGAUGAAGGCCCUCUGGGUUGUAAACUUCUUUUAUCUGGGAAGAAACCCGUUUUUUCUAAAGCGGUUGACGGUACCAGAUGAAUAAGCACCGGCUAACUCCGUGCCAGCAGCCGCGGUAAUACGGAGGGUGCAAGCGUUAUCCGGAUUCACUGGGUUUAAAGGGUGCGUAGGUGGGCAGGUAAGUCAGCGGUGAAAUCUCCGGGCUUAACCCGGAAACUGCCGUUGAUACUAUCUGUCUUGAAUGUAGUGGAGGUGAGCGGAAUAUGUCAUGUAGCGGUGAAAUGCUUAGAUAUGACAUAGAACACCCAUUGCGAAGGCAGCUCGCUACACUAUUAUUGACACUGAGGCACGAAAGCGUGGGGAUCAAACAGGAUUAGAUACCCUGGUAGUCCACGCCCUAAACGAUGGAUACUCGACAUCAGCGAUACACAGUUGGUGUCUGAGCGAAAGCAUUAAGUAUCCCACCUGGGAAGUACGACCGCAAGGUUGAAACUCAAAGGAAUUGACGG
rnacentral:rRNA from 2 species